GACAGAGGGUGCAAACGUUGCUCGGAAUCACUGGGCGUAAAGGGCGUGUAGGCGGGAAGGCAAGUCAGAUGUGAAAUCCCCAGGCUCAACCUGGGAACUGCAUUUGAAACUCCCUUUCUUGAGUACCGGAGAGGAAAGUGGAAUUCCUGGUGUAGAGGUGAAAUUCGUAGAUAUCAGGAGGAACACCAGUGGCGAAGGCGGCUACCUGGCCUGUUCUUGACGCUGAGGCGCGAAAGCUAGGGGAGCAAACGGG
rnacentral:rRNA from 1 species